rnacentral:rRNA from 1 species
CCUACGGGCGGCAGCAGUAGGGAAUCUUCCACAAUGGACGAAAGUCUGAUGGAGCAACGCCGCGUGAGUGAAGAAGGGUUUCGGCUCGUAAAGCUCUGUUGGUAGUGAAGAAAGAUAGAGGUAGUAACUGGCCUUUAUUUGACGGUAAUUACUUAGAAAGUCACGGCUAACUAAGUGCCAGCAGCCGCGGUAAUACGUAGGUGGCAAGCGUUGUCCGGAUUUAUUGGGCGUAAAGCGAGUGCAGGCGGUUCAAUAAGUCAGAUGUGAAAGCCUUCGGCUCAACCGGAGAAUUGCAUCAGAAACUGUUGAACUGGAGUGCAGGAGAGGCGGGUGGAACUCCAGGUGUAGCGGUGGAAUGCGUAGAUAUAUGGAAGAACACCAGUGGCGAAGGCGGCUCUCUGGUCUGCAACUGACGCUGAGGCUCGAAAGCAUGGGUAGCGAACAGGAUUAGAUACCCCUGUAGUC